AUCAACACACUUCCCAAACCAACCCAAUCAGUCUCUCCUUCACUCAGCAGUCUCUCGUUCACUCAUCGGAAUGCCCUAAUCUCUUACUCACUCAUCAGUCUCUCGUUCGUUCUCUCUCAUUAAACCCUCUCAACGGAUCCAUUCAUCUUUGGCUGAUUCAUCUCAACGGAUCGCUCAUCAAUCUCAACGGAUCAAUUUCGAUUUCGAUUUCGAUUUCGAUUUCGAAGCUCCACCGCCACCACCAUCGUCUACUAAGAUUUUUGUUUCUGCAGAUAUUUGGAUACAUAAAGUAUUUUCCAUUUAUACUCUGAGUUUUCAACAUAUUUGUUCUUAUAUGUAACCGUCUCUAUGAGGGGUAUCGGUGGUCUAGUUUUGGGUGAGUUAUAUCAUGUUAAUGACUAGUUGCUUUGAUUCUUGUGAGAUAUAUCAAUCCUCUAUUAUACGCUAUAUCUGUUUUGGGUGAGUUAUUAUCCUCUUGUGGACAGGCAACAUUGGGCUUAUUUGGUCAACUUUCGUGGUACCUUUAGAUGGCAUAUCUGCUCUAACUUUGGUAUUUGCUUUGCCUCUUUCAUUUAUGGGAAUUCAGUGGGAUGAUAUUUUUGAUCUCAUCUGCAUGUCUGUGAACUUUUCGUCUCAUAUUUUAUCUCAUUCUUCUGUAUAUUAUGUCAUUAAUGCCUCUGAAUCAUGGUAAUAUGUCAAACUACUCAAUAUUUUAGUUCCUCUUGAAUGGCAGUUUUUUCCUUGGAGUCAAUUCUGUUUUUUUCA